CAUCGCCCCAAGCCUGGGCGCCAGUAACAGCCUCUGUCCCUCCAGCCCGUAUGAUGGCUCCGUGCCACCUGGGGACUCCCUCCAGCCAGCCAGGGCAAAGGUGCAUGACAACCCUGAGCAAGUCAAAACAACCGUCAGCGGCGGGAAACCUCGGUGAACAAACACCGGGAGAGUGGAGGAGGCCAUGAGAACCAUCAAGAAGUUCAUGGACUCAGGAGGAUGUCGUCAGCAGCGCUGAGGUCUUGGAAUGUGGGCUCGGACCUUGUGUUUGGUGGCGUCCUAUGCAGCCAGGCAGUGAGCGGCUGACGGGUGCCUCAGUGUCCCAUGCAGCGCAGCCUCGAAGAGUGGGUGGAGGCCAGCCCCGCAGGAGAACCACCUGUGUCUGCCCACAAUGGGACAAACCUCAGCACCGAGUGUGUCCACAGAUGCCAGCGCCUCUCAGAUGAAGUGAGUUGAUGACUGUUAAAUGUAACAAUAAAAACGGUCUUGUAUUUGGU